GGAGGCGUGCCCGAGUGGUUGAAAGGGACGGUCCUGAAAACCGUUAUACCCGAAAGGGUAUCAGAGGUUCGAAUCCUCUCGCCUCCG
rnacentral:tRNA from 2 species